CGGCAGGCCGGUUGUCAAUG
rnacentral:misc_RNA from 1 species